UCAUAUUAUCAAGGGCCUAAAUACAUCCUUAACGAAAGUUUUCGUUAACUAAACGUUAACAAAUCGCAUCGCGCACGUCUCACCCAUCGACCAGGCCCGCGCACCGUCGUCUCGUCUCACGAGAAAAGAAGAAGGAUCUGGAGAGGUCAUUGCCGUCCACCCCCAAUCCCGUCAUGCCUUCUCUCCGGCCGGCCACGACAGCGACAAGGACCAGCGUCGCGGAGGCUGCCCCAUCGCCGACCACCACCAUAACCCCUCCUCCUUGCCGUCUCCUCCGCCCCCUUCCCGGUAUCCUUGACUUACCUUAAAGUAUGGUACCGAUGCAAUCUCCUCCGACGCCGACCUCCACAAGCAGCCCCGCGACGCGGUCUGCAUCAUGGAGAGCCGUAAUGUCGGCAGUGGUGACAAGCACUGCCUCUUCAGCAGGGGCGAUGGCCGUGACAAACCCGGCGUCAACACCUACAAGGUAAAAAAACAAGUUCAUUAGGGGCAAGGUGCGCGUAUCAGGCAACUGCAUGAAACAGGAUUGAAUGCAUAUGCAGAGGCUGGGAAUCAAACUUGUUGUACAACUGUUACUGAUGAUGCAAAUUAUACAGAAUCAUGCAAGCGCUCACUGUUACAUUACAGAUACAUGAUACUACUAGCCAAUAGGCAGUUAGUUAAAACGGCGUUAUAUGACAAGGUCAAGCAGUGAAACUUGAAUAAUGCUGCUUGAAAACAGCAGUAAGAAACUGCAACUAAUAUACACUAUUGUAGGAAUAACCCGAUAAAUGGCUCGAAUAUGACAAAUCCAGAUACCAUAACCAUACCAGCUAAGUGCGCACUAGCAUCAUGAAACAACCAGAGAUUCAGAACGAGCCCUUGCUCUGAAAUCCUUAGAAUCUAGGGACUUAGAUUUGAGCCAUCUAUCAGGUUAUUCUUAAAACAAACAGACAACAAUAGCUGCAUUCCUCAAGCAAAUCAAAGGGCACACAACACUGACAAUUCACCAUACUAGAUGUUACACGUCGCUGUCCAUUUCAUAAGAGUGAUCAGUACCAGAGUGUAGGUGUUACGGUAUAAUCAGACGAGUAAAUGGGUAAUCGAUUGGCUAAACUAAGAAUAUGGUGGAUGCAUGGCAGAGCAGGUGGAGGCCCUGGAGGGAGCUUCGGGAAGGUCACUACUUAACAAUGUAUCUGGCAGACACUUCAAAAUUAGAAUCUGAUUUCCACCUGAAAGUGACGAGUAGCGAAUUAUAAAUGGUCUAAGUUUUCUGGCAAAAAACGUAAUCGUCUAUGUUUAUCGUGCACGAUAUUCUGGACUUUUAGUUUAAGCAAGAUUUUGUUCGUUUAUGUUCAGAUUUCUUUUCUUGAGCAUUUUUUUUCUGUUCUGACAUAAAAUUUCAUACUUGAUCACUAAGACAUUGAUUCACUGAUGUAUGAAGUGAGACAACACUCUGCUGGAUGAAAGCAUCACUCCUCGCCUGAAGAUAUGUGACCGGUUAUUUGAAGCUACUUUGUGUUAAUCUGGUCGCCUGGUGCCGGAUUGUUUAUGUAUUUGACGAUUGUUCUUAUAUAUCAUCUCUAGCAUCACAACAACAAAAAUAAACCAUCUUACUGUAGUAACUGAUAAUAAACGGAAGGUGUGAUGGAUACUAAAUUUUAGUCGAUCUGCAGUCAUGUUGCUUUGUAUUGUAAAGUCUUCAAUGUAGAAGUUAAUCAUGUUGUUUCUUUAGGAUUAAGAAAAAAAGUCAAACCGAGUCCUAGUAGUAUUAGGAUUUGUAGUCCUAGUCUAUUUCCAUAGUCCCUUGUGGACGUGUAUAAAAGACACCCUAGGGGUGUUGAUUGUAACACCAGAAAAACGAAAAGCAAUACAAAGCAAAGGCUCGACACGGGCCUUUAGCCAUUAAAUCCAUCGAUCAGUUUUAUUCGUGUCGCUAGUUACGCAAAUUCCGUCAAGUAGCCGUCCGAAGCAAGAAUCGCGUAGCCACGCCUGUACAGCUGCAUACGCACGUUCAAAAGCCAACAAUUGGUAUCUAGAGCAUCUACGAUCUACGAUCUACGAUGACGGACAGCGACGCUAAGUCGGUCAAGUCCGACAGCGGCGGUGCCAAGGCGAACAAGAAUGAUGACAAGGUGAAGAAGGGCGUCAAGUCAGCAACCAGUGGUGGAGGAAUGAGCGGCGCCAACGUCCAGGCGCAUCGCAACAUCCCCAUCCAGUACCCGAUGCUCACCGACGCCAACUACGGCGUGUGGGCGGUGAAGAUGAAGAUUAUUCUUCGAUCCCUUCGAG
rnacentral:lncRNA from 1 species